rnacentral:rRNA from 1 species
ACGGUUCAUUCAAAUUUCUGCCCUAUCAACUUUCGAUGGUAAGGUAUUGGCUUACCAUGGUUUCAACGGGUAACGGGGAAUUAGGGUUCGAUUCCGGAGAGGGAGCUGAGAAACGGCUACCACAUCCAAGGAAGGCAGCAGGCGCGCAAAUUACCCAAUCCCGACUCGGGGAGGUAGUGACAAUAAAUACUGAUACAGGGCUCUUUUGGGUCUUGUAAUCGGAAUGAGUACAAUUUAAACCCCUUAACGAGGAACAAUUGGAGGGCAAGUCUGGUGCCAGCAGCCGCGGUAAUUCCAGCUCCAAUAGCGUAUAUUAAAGUUGUUGCAGUUAAAAAGCUCGUAGUUGAACCUUGGGCCUGGCUGGCCGGUCCGCCUCACCGCGUGUACUGGUCCGGCCGGGCCUUUCCUUCUGGAGAGCCGCAUGCCCUUCACUGGGUGUGUCGGGGAACCAGGACUUUUACUUUGAAAAAAUUAGAGUGUUCAAAGCAGGCCUUUGCUCGAAUACGUUAGCAUGGAAUAAUAGAAUAGGACGUGCGGUCCUAUUUUGUUGGUUUCUAGGACCGCCGUAAUGAUUAAUAGGGAUAGUCGGGGGCAUCAGUAUUCAAUUGUCAGAGGUGAAAUUCUUGGAUUUAUUGAAGACUAACUACUGCGAAAGCAUUUGCCAAGGAUGUUUUCAUUAAUCAGUGAACGAAAGUUAGGGGAUCGAAGACGAUCAGAUACCGUCGUAGUCUUAACCGUAAACUAUGCCGACUAGGGAUCGGGCGAUGUUUCUAUCUUGACUCGCUCGGCACCUUACGAGAAAUCAUAAG